rnacentral:rRNA from 1 species
GAUGAACGCUGGCGGCGUGCCUAAUACAUGCAAGUCGAGCGAACGGACGAGAAGCUUGCUUCUCUGAUGUUAGCGGCGGACGGGUGAGUAACACGUGGAUAACCUACCUAUAAGACUGGGAUAACUUCGGGAAACCGGAGCUAAUACCGGAUGAUAUUUUGAACCGCAUGGUUCAAAAGUGAAAGACGGUCUUGCUGUCACUUAUAGAUGGAUCCGCGCUGCAUUAGCUAGUUGGUAAGGUAACGGCUUACCAAGGCAACGAUGCAUAGCCGACCUGAGAGGGUGAUCGGCCACACUGGAACUGAGACACGGUCCAGACUCCUACGGGAGGCAGCAGUAGGGAAUCUUCCGCAAUGGGCGAAAGCCUGACGGAGCAACGCCGCGUGAGUGAUGAAGGUCUUCGGAUCGUAAAACUCUGUUAUUAGGGAAGAACAUAUGUGUAAGUAACUGUGCACUUCUUGACGGUACCUAAUCAGAAAGCCACGGCUAACUACGUG